AGUACCAAUACUUCAAUUUUUGCAUUUUCGAACUUAACAGGAUCUCCUAUGUGAAUCAAGAACCAAAUAAGGAAGUAAGUUAUUCAUAUGUGCAACAACGUACAAAGUUUCUGAAUAGACAUGUGAUCUAUGAAGAAUUGGUGAGCAUCUACAUAUAGGUUAGGAUUUCGCACAUAACUCGAAUGAUUAUGUUUUAUACAAGAGGUGAUGACUAAUAUGUGACCAUACGAUCAUUUCCUUAUUGAUUGUCUUUAGAACGAAGAUGUGCAUAUUUUUAUAGAACUGAUAUUUUAACGAUUUAUGUCAUGGUCAUAAACGCGUUAACAAAGAAUAUUCAUGGAUGAUCCGAUUUUCACGAUAUUAAUUGGCUAAUUAGAUUAUAUGGUACAUCAACAUUUUUUAUAAAGUCAACAACGCUUAUAAAAGCGUCAAGACGUCAAUUACCAUGUCGACCCAGUUACGGAGUCUUCCCUUCUGAAAAUUCCAGGCAAUCAACAUGUUACACUUAAAAUUAAUUACCAAGAAGAGUAUUUCUAUAACAAAGCCAUACAACUUUCACGAAAAAGGCUAAACUAAUAAAUAAUAAUCAAUAUAAAAUAUCACCAUUAUCAUUAAAACUAGAACAGAAAUUCUUUUGACAUGAAAUUCUGCCACAAAUAAAAAGUUACAGCAGUUAUUUAAGUACCAAAAAAAGAAACUCGUCACUGUUCUCGACAGUUCCCAAAGCAAGUCGCAUUAUUCUAUAACUAAGCGUACCAGCGGAGGAGAGCUGAAUCACACCCUAUUUGAUCAAAUUGAAAUAACAACCCUCAUCAACAUUAAAUUGUAUGCGUGAUUACUCUCUGAAUGAAGUUCAUGGAAAAUACUUGAAGACAUUAAAAAUUUUUAUAUAUUCUAACAUUUUUCUUCAGUUUUUACUUGACAUUCAUUCUAAUUUAUUUCUGCUGAUAGUCGCCUUCGUGAAAUACAUCAUUCACCUUCCAGUCGUGAAACAAAGAUCUCCCCGAGAAGCAGCUUUAAAAUUUAUGGCGACAAAACCACAUAGAAGAGAGCGGAGACGUGAUGACAAAGUGUGUCAAUGUCAAACUUCAGACGAUGUUUCGAACUUCUCUCUCAGAGAACGAUUCGUUCUUUCUCUGUGCGUUUUUCUUAAACGUUCACGGAAUUCUUAAGUUUCUCGUUAAGACUCUGCGUGGGAGAACAUGGUUAUCAUGACGUCAUCUUCUGGAGGUUUUACUGAUCGAUAAAACACGUCACAAUGGUCACUAAUAUGGAUUGGUCUUACGUCCAUUUGUUACGUAGCGAGUUACCACUAUACGCGUUGCUCCACCUCAAAAAACAGCAAAGAAUAUCAAGAUAAAGAAACAAAAAGAAACCGCUCGCUAAUUUAGAAACAAUUUGUUGGAAUGAAAAAUAGGUGUUGAUAACACAGCCAGGAUGAUAAAAGAACGAUUGAAUGAGGAGGUUGACUGAUGUUGUCGUACGACGACUUCGCAUCGCCACUACUGACUUGAGUACAAAUGGGAUCUGAGGUUAACGUGCUGUGAUGUCAUUCGCUGAUAUCAUAGUGUCCAUCUUUUACUUUAGUAUCCUGACAAGAAGAAAAAAUUCAGCAAAAGCACAGCUUUUCGACUUUUCAAAUUGUUCCUUCAAUUUCAAUCUCCAUAAUAAUUCAACGACAUGUGUACUUACAUCAUUGUCACGUGUGAUAUACCUACACAUUUAAUUAAAGUCUAUAAUUAAAAGAAAAUUUAGAAGAAAAUUAAAUAAGUAUUAUGCCCUUGUAUUCCUUUCUUAAAUUGACGAGAAUUGAGAAUUGAGAAGCAUUAUCAGUGAAACAACACUAAACGAGUUUACCAUAUGAAGAAGGAUAAAUGUUACAGUACCGAAUUUUCUUUGUAAACUUGUGAAACUUGAUAACCGAUUGUAACAUUCGCACUACGUAUGUAGAUUUGCAACAUGAUCCAGAUGUAACUACUUAUAGCACUUAUGCACGAAUAUAUUUGCUACAUAAACGAUACAGCUCAACUAAAUUUAAUUAAAUAAAUUAAACUGU